rnacentral:rRNA from 1 species
UACGUAGGGGGCAAGCGUUGUCCGGAUUUAUGGGGCGUAAAGAGCGUGUAGGCGGUUCGGUAGGUCCGUUGUGAAAACUCGAGGCUCAACCUCGAGACGCCGAUGGAAACCCUCGAACUAGAGUCCGGAAGAGGAGAAUGGAAUUCCUGGUGUAGCGGUGAAAUGCGCAGAUAUCAGGAAGAACACCCGUGGCUAAGGCGGUUCUCUAGUACGGUACUGACGCUGAGACGCGAAAGCGUGGGGAGCGAACAGG